AAAGUAAUUUCUGCCCAGUGAAAUUUUCAACGGCCGCGGUAUCCUGACCGUGCGAAGGUAGCAUAAUCAUUUGCCUUUUAAUUAAAGGCUAGUAUGAAAGAAUAAACGAAGAAUACCCUGUCUCUUAAUAAAAUUUAAAAAUUUACUUUUAGGUGAAGAGGCCUAAAUAAAAUAAAAAGACAAGAAGACCCUAUCAAGCUUAUCUAAAAUUUUAUCCACUAUAAAUAAUUAGAUUAAUUGGGGCGAUUAAAAAUUAAAUAAAUCAUUUAUCUUACUAAGAGAAAUAACUCUCAUAAUUUAACUUUAAAAUAAAUAUAAGAAAGCUACUGUAGGGAUAACAGGCUAAUAUUUCCUGAGAGUCCUAAUCAACGGAAAUGCUUGGCACCUCGAUGUUGGCUUAGGGAUUCUAUAUUAUGCAGCAGUAAUUUAAGUUGGUUUGUUCAACCAUUAAACCCCU
rnacentral:rRNA from 1 species